UUGCAAUUUCGUCAACAUAGGGGGCGUGUUGUCUGAAUGAUGUUUAUAUUUGAAGACUUUGACAUUCAAAGAUUUUUAUUAUUUAUGUCGCGUAAACUAUUAGAAAUCGGCCCGAUCUCGUGAUUGAUUUCCUUGAUUCUUCCAUGUUGAUCAAGGAAACAAAUCAUGGCCCUCUUCACUAUCUGGUCAGUAUGCUAAUUCUCUUUCAGUUCUUAACAUCCCAUUGCUAUAAGAUUCAGUCAUUGAGUUCUUAACAUCAAGCAAUGGUUUCUGCUGAUGCCUCUUUGAUGGAAAGGUCUACUUGGCAGCAGCAUUAGCUCCGAGAACUUCUAAGUAGUUCCGAGACCAAUCGGAACUGAAACGCGGCCGUAAGCUAUGUGCAAACUUCUUCAUUUCACAACAACCAAGUCUCAAGAAUGGAAGGAGGGAAUACAUUGGGGGUUUAGAUCAAUGUUAUUGCAAAGGUUGUCAGAGUUGCAGUCUCAAAGGACAUGCUAAAGACCAACAAGCUCAAACUCUAAUCCAGGUGGUAGCCAAUGGCAAUGUGCAACUUUUUUCCAAACUAGCAACCUCGACGUGUAGCACCCAAUGAACUCAUUGGCAGAUGGAGCGAGAAAGUGAGAUAAAAAAGGGAAAGAGCAAGAGAGGAAAAGAGAGAACAAAUGCGGGAAAAAAUUGAUAUGUUGGCAAAGGUUAGAACAUUUUAUUUUGAAAAAGUCGGUCAAAUUUCAUUUGAGUCCAAUUUCUUAGGUCAUCCAUAAAAAAAAACUCCCGUAAAAGAUAUAUUUUUAACAUUGAUCAAAAGUACAACUCCAUUAAAGAAAAAUGAAAGUGUCACAUACUAUCAGUAGAAAGCUUUCUAACAAACAAAGCUUGAAUUAUUAGCUUCACUUGUCUUAGAGAGCAAUUUGAAUGUUAUGAUUAACUUUUGAUAAUGUAGCUUGAUAACACAGAGAUAACAACUAAAACCAAAUGGGGUUAUGAACUUUGAAAUGGAAAAGUUUUGAUAAGAAUUGUUUAGUGGUAUUUCUCUCUUUUGGAGCUUUGGAAUUUGGCAAUACUUCUGGUUUCUUAAUUUCCGUUUAGUAAUUAUUUGAUUUUUAAUUUAUAGUUUUUUUUUUUUAAAUUAUGCUUGUUUUCUCACAAUUUUUCACUUGUAAUUUUCAAAUUUUGUUACGUAAACAUACAUCCAUCAACUCCUUAAAUUGGUGUAAACAUUAUUGAAGUUUGCACAUUUACUUAUCAAGUAACUUUAUUUGUUAUUUUUUUAUUUUUUUUACUUUCCACAUUUUUUAGGAAUCCUUCCUUACCUCUAUUUCUACUUUUUAUAUUUAUCAAGUAACUUAUCUUCCUUUCUUGAUCUACUUUUAACAAUUAUUGAGGAACUCCAUCUUACAAUUUUAGGAAAAUUGUCGGUUUUGACCCAAAAUUUUUUUCCCAUUCAAAAGUAAUCUCAUCCUUAAAAUCUAAUUUUUUUUUUAUCCCUUCUUCCAAUUUUCAAACUUUAAGUGGGGGUACCCACCACAUAAAAAGACAUUUUACUCCCGAAUAAAUGAUCAUUCAAUUGUCUUGAAUAUGAAAUCACCUAACUUACCUAACUCACAUAUCUUAAAAUAGAAACUUCAAUCUUCAAUUUCACAUUUUGUUUUCAAUAAUAGAAUGCUUUACGUAAGUUAAGGGUCCCAACCUCAGAGGAAUAAUCUUUUUCAGAGGGUCCAAAGUUCAGAGGAACAAUUUCUUUCCUCUUUGAGAGUUCCAAAAGAAACAGAAUGCCUCGUUUGUCUACUACGAUAGCAUUUGGAAUGAGGAUGAACGAGAAUGUGCAGGUGGUAAUCUAGAGGGUUUGAAUGUAAGAGGUGACAUUUACUUUCAAGACUUCUUGUUGGAGGUGUAUAAUCUAAGUGGGAUUGACCCAAAAAACCACGAUCUCACCCUAAGAUGUCUAUAAAAUUUUGGAUCUAGGGUUCCUACGUAUUUGAUACGAAAUGAUCAAGAAAUUAGGUUCUUUUUAAAUGGUGAGGAUGCAUGUAGACCCACUAUAUAUUUAUCAAUGAAAUCCAAACUUAUGUAUUGCGAGAAUGAUUUAAAGAACCCCAGUUGCUCAUACCAAUCAAGCUUUCCAUACAAUUUAGCCCAAGAAUAUCCAUCCCCUUAUAUCCUACACAACCUUCCUUUGAAAAAAAUUAUUCAUCAGAGACUAUGCUACAUCACUAACCUUUUUAGAUAAUAAUGUUGCCCCAUAUAACCUAUCUGAUGACAGUUUCUUUGUUUAUCCAUACAAUCCCAAGGAUAAUGGUUCAUCCUCCUCAAUGUACAGUGAGGAGAAUAUUGGUUGUGCAGACGGGGGGUUUGGGCAUAAUGUAAGUGAGGAGGAUGACAUAGAAGAUGAAAAUGUACGUGUUGAAGGGGUUCUUGAGCAUGGUGUAGGAGAGGAGAACGUGAAUUUUGUUAAAAUGUUAAAUACCUAUUCGUGUCACAAAACAAGGUACAAUGUUAAAAUCCCUAGUGAAAUAAAAUACCUUUAAAAAGGACGAAUUUCACAAGAAAGAAGCCAGAGAGCCAUGACCAAAAGACAAAUUUUGUGCAGUUUGCAAAAAAGCUUAAGUUGCACUCUCUGUGGGUUUGUCUCGUGAAGUUGAGUUGAUUUCUGUCUUUUGUGUCGUAAAGUUGAUUUGAAGUCAGUCUUCUACCUCUCGUGAAGUUGAGUUUGUUGGGUUUUAUGUCCUAAAACUUGUAGAUAGUAAAUGUUAUUAAUUGGUUGUCAUCAAUAAAGAGUUACUUAUGUUAAUUCAAUAAAUGUUAUUAAUUGUGUUAUCUAUUUUGUCCUAAUAACCCAAAUUCAAUAAAUCAACAUCCAAGGUGGCCUGAUGAGUCUUGAAUUGUAUGUAGAGACAUACAUGAAUCAAUGUUCAAAAUACAACCUAAAGGGUUUAUAAUAUAGAGAUAAGGUUGGGUACCUUAUCCUAGUAACACUAUGGAUACGACCCACUUUGUAUUUGAUACAAACGCAAUGAUCCAUCGUAUUCGUGUAGGUGAAAAGCGAGUGGGGGUAUCCUAUGCAAUGAGUUUGCAUAAGACCAGACCGCGAAAUAGUAACCACUAGAUGUAACACCAUUAACUAGUUAGGUUCUUAUUUCAAUAGGAUGAA